rnacentral:rRNA from 1 species
AACUUUGCAAUACACGAAAGUGUGACAGGGCUAUCCCGAGUGCCAUCCGCUGAGGAAGGCUUUCACCCAGUCUAGAACGCUGGGGGAAUAAGGAGAGGGCAAGUCUGGUGUCAGCCGCCGCGGUAAUACCAGCUCUCCGAGUGGUGUGGAUGUUUAUUGGGCCUAAAGCAUCCGUAGCUGGCUAAGUUAGUCCCUUGUUAAAUCCACCGAAUUAAUCGUUGGAUUGCGGGGGAUACUGCUUGGCUAGAGGACGAGAGAGGCAGACGGUAUUCCCGGGGUAGGGGUGAAAUCCUAUAAUCCCGAGAAGACCACCAGUGGCGAAGGCUGUCUGCUAGAACGCGCCCGACGGUGAGGGAUGAAAGCUGGGGGAGCGAACCGGAUUAGAUACCCGGGUAGUCCCAGCUGUAAACGAUGCAGGCUAGGUGUUUGGACGGCCACGUGCCGUUCUAGUGCCGCAGGGAAGCUGUUAAGCCUGCCGCCUGGGGAGUACGAUCGCAAGAUUGAAACUUAA